UAGAAGGUAAAAUCUGCUUACGUGAGUCAUUGUCCAUUUUAUUUCAAACAAUUUUUGUCAUUUUAAAAUUUCGAGAUGUUUAAAGUCGUUUUUUGUAUAUUUAAUUUAUUUGCAGUUAUUUUUCCAUUUCUUUUAGACAUUUGAAGUCAUAGUUUUAGGCACUUGAAGGCAUCCUUGAAACCGCUUGAAAGUUACACAAAAUUACUUUGACUGCCUGAAAUCUUAACAUUGAAUAAGUCCAACUACAUGGAAGUUACACCCUGGAAAUUACACAAGAUUACUCGGAAUGCCUGGAAAAGAAUAAAAUAAUCUUAACUGUCUGGCAGUUAACACAAAUUACUCAGAGUCACUUAAAGUCAAAUAAAAUCAUUGUAUAUUUCUUUUAGGAAUCUGUAGUAAAUUUUUUAUUUUAA